CAAAUCCUACUAUCACAUUUGUUAGGAGAUGCUGGCAGUCCUAAUAUUGUGGGUUUGGCAUUUCUUUCUUCAUCAUUCAUGGUAACCGACUGAAUACAAAUUUAAACAAUUCAAACAAGCUGCAUUGCUGACUUUUUUGUCCCUGGAAGAAGAACACAAAUGUUGGCUUUGUUUUCUUUUGAAAUCCCUGUUAGCAGUGGUCUCUCAAGAUGUUGUUGGUUCAAAAGUAUCUUCUGCAUUUAGUGGUGACAAUUAUUUUAUAAUAG